UUCUCAGUGGGUCUGUUGGGGUCCCGAUGUGAGGCUGUGGUUCUCUAUGUGCGUGACGUCAUUUAUGGACGGCUCCUUACAGCAGAAAGAACAAUCCUGGCAACAAAGGUCCUCCUCGGGGCCAGACGGAGGCGAGCCAUCGGCCCCUCG